AAACCAGCACCUCAAGUGGUCAGGAUGAUUAUUGGGCCUAAAGCAUCCGUAGCCUGCUCUGUAAGUUUUCGGUUAAAUCUGUACGCUCAACGUACAGGCUGCCGGGAAUACUGCAGAGCUAGGGAGUGGGAGAGGUAGACGGUACUCGGGAGGAAGUGGUAAAAUGCUUUGAUCUCUCGAUGACCACCUGUGGCGAAGGCGGUCUACCAGAACACGUCCGACGGUGAGGGAUGAAAGCUGGGGGAGCAAACCGGAUUAGAAACCCCGGUAGUCC
rnacentral:rRNA from 1 species